AUGAACGCUGGCGGCGUGCCUAAUCCAUGCCAGUCGAGCGAACGGACGAGAAGCUUGCUUCUCUGAUGUUAGCGGCGGACGGGUGAGUAACACGUGGAUAACCUACCUAUAAGACUGGGAUAACUUCGGGAAACCGGAGCUAAUACCGGAUAAUAUUUUGAACCGCAUGGUUCAAAAGUGAAAGACGGUCUUGCUGUCACUUAUAGAUGGAUCCGCGCUGCAUUAGCUAGUUGGUAAGGUACGGCUUACCAAGGCAACGAUGCAUAGCCGACCUGAGAGGGUGAUCGGCCACACUGGAACUGAGACACGGUCCAGACUCCUACGGGAGGCAGCAGUAGGGAAUCUUCCGCAAUGGGCGAAAGCCUGACGGAGCAACGCCGCGUGAGUGAUGAAGGUCUUCGGAUCGUAAAACUCUGUUAUUAGGGAAGAACAUAUGUGUAAGUAACUGUGCACAUCUUGACGGUACCUAAUCAGAAAGCCACGGCUAACUACGUG
rnacentral:rRNA from 1 species